rnacentral:rRNA from 1 species
GAUGAACGCUGGCGGCGUGCUUAACACAUGCAAGUCGAACGGAAAGGCCCCUUUGCUGGUACUCGAGUGGCGAACGGGUGAGUAACACGUGAGUAACGUGCCCUUGACUUCGGGGUAACGUUAGGAAAUUGGGGCUAAUACCGGAUAGGAAUCAUUGCUUCAUGUUGGGGGUUGGAAAGCUUCGGCGGGUUUGGAUGGAUUGGCGGGAUAUCACCUCGGUGGUGGGGUAGUGGAGUACCGAGGCGUUGGCGGGUAACCGGCCUGAGAGGGCGAGCGGCCACCUUGGGUCUGAGAGACGGCCGAGCCAGCGACGGGAGGCAGCAGUGGGGAAGAUUGAUCGAGCAACGGAGGCCUGAUGAAGAAAGCCCUCGGGCGGGAAGACAGUCUUCGGGUUGAAGAACACCUUCAGUAGGAGAGAAGCUUGUGGUGACGGUACCUGAAGAAGAAGCACCGGCUAACUACGUG